rnacentral:rRNA from 1 species
CGAGGACGAACGCUGGCGGCGCGCUUAAUACAUGCAAGUCGAACGAGAAGCCAGAGCUUGCUCUGGUGGAAAGUGGCGAACGGGUGAGUAACACGUGAGAAACCUGCCCCAAAGAUUGGGAUAAGCCUUGGAAACGAGGUCUAAUACCAAAUACCUUCCUUUUAACACAUGUUAAAAGAAGAAAUGCUCCGGCGCUUUGGGAUGGUCUCGCGAUCUAUCAGCUUGUUGGUGAGGUAACGGCUCACCAAGGCAUCGACGGAUAGCUGGUCUGAGAGGAUGUCCAGCCACAUUGGAACUGAGACACGGUCCAAACUCCUACGGGAGGCAGCAGUAGGGAAUCUUGCACAAUGAGGGAAACCUUGAUGCAGCGACGCCGCGUGCGGGACGAAGGCCCUAGGGUUGUAAACCGCUUUCAGUAGGGACGAAAGUGACGGUACCUACAGAAGAAGCCCCGGCCAACUAUGUG